rnacentral:rRNA from 1 species
GUGCCGCAGCUAACGCAUUAAGCACUCCGCCUGGGGAGUACGACCGCAAGGUUGAAACUCAAAGGAAUUGACGGGGGCCCGCACAAGCGGUGGAGCAUGUGGUUUAAUUCGAAGCUACGCGAAGAACCUUACCAGGUCUUGACAUCUUGCGCCAACCCUAGAGAUAGGGCGUUUCCUUCGGGAACGCAAUGACAGGUGGUGCAUGGUCGUCGUCAGCUCGUGUCGUGAGAUGUUGGGUUAAGUCCCGCAACGAGCGCAACCCUUGUUACUAGUUGCCAGCAUUCAGUUGGGCACUCUAGUGAGACUGCCGGUGACAAACCGGAGGAAGGUGGGGACGACGUCAGAUCAUCAUGCCCCUUAUGACCUGGGCUACACACGUGCUACAAUGGACGGUACAACGAGUCGCGAACUCGCGAGGGCAAGCUAAUCUCUUAAAACCGUUCUCAGUUCGGACUGCAGGCUGCAACUCGCCUGCACGAAGUCGGAAUCGCUAGUAAUCGCGGAUCAGCAUGCCGCGGUGAAUACGUUCCCGGGCCUUGUGCACACCGCCCGUCACACCAUGAGAGU